rnacentral:rRNA from 1 species
CGGACGGGUGAGUAAUGUCUGGGAAACUGCCCGAUGGAGGGGGAUAACUACUGGAAACGGUAGCUAAUACCGCAUAACGUCGCAAGACCAAAGAGGGGGACCUUGGGCCUCUUGCCAUCGGAUGUGCCCAGAUGGGAUUAGCUAGUAGGUGGGGUAACGGCUCACCUAGGCGACGAUCCCUAGCUGGUCUGAGAGGAUGACCAGCCACACUGGAACUGAGCACGGUCCAG